rnacentral:rRNA from 1 species
GAUCCUGGCUCAGGAUGAACGCUAGCUACAGGCUUAACACAUGCAAGGUCGAGGGGAAACGACAUCGAAAGCUUGCUUUGAUGGGCGUCGACCGGCGCACGGGUGAGUAACGCGUAUCCAACCUGCCCACCACUUGGGGAUAACCUUGCGAAAGUAAGACUAAUACCCAAUGACGUCUCUAGAAGACAUCUGAAAGAGAUUUAAAAGGAUUUAUCGGUGAUGGAUGGGGAUGCGUCUGAUUAGCUUGUUGGCGGGUAACGGCCCACCAAGGCGACGAUCAGUAGGGGUUCUGAGAGAAAGGUCCCCCCACAUUGGAACUGAGACACGGUCCAAACUCCUACGGGAGGCAGCAGUGAGGAAUAUUGGUCAAUGGACGAGAGUCUGAACCACCGCCAAGUAGCGUGAAGGAUGACUGCCCUAUGGGUUGUAAACUUCUUUUAUAUGGGAAUAAAGUGAGCCACGUGUGGCUUUUUGUAUGUACCAUACGAAUAAGGAUCGGCUAACUCCGUG